CCUACGGGGGGCAGCAGUCGAGAAUCAUUCACAAUGGGGGAAACCCUGAUGGUGCGACGCCGCGUGGGGGAAUGAAGGUCUUCGGAUUGUAAACCCCUGUCAUGUGGGAGCAAAUUAAAAAGAUAGUACCACAAGAGGAAGAGACGGCUAACUCUGUGCCAGCAGCCGCGGUAAUACAGAGGUCUCAAGCGUUGUUCGGAAUCACUGGGCGUAAGGCGUGCGUAGGCUGUUUCGUAAGUCGUGUGUGAAAGGCGCGGGCUCAACCCGCGGACGGCACAUGAUACUGCGAGACUAGAGUAAUGGAGGGGGAACCGGAAUUCUCGGUGUAGCAGUGAAAUGCGUAGAUAUCGAGAGGAACACUCGUGGCGAAGGCGGGUUCCUGGACAUUAACUGACGCUGAGGCACGAAGGCCAGGGGAGCGAAAGGGAUUAGAGACCCCAGUAGUC
rnacentral:rRNA from 1 species